rnacentral:tRNA from 1 species
GGGAAGGUGGCUCAGUGGUAGAGUGCUUGCCUUGCAUGCAUGAGGCCCUGGCUUCGAUUCCUCAGCUCCA